CGCGUAGGCGGUCCUUCAAGUCGGAUGUGAAAACCGGUAGCUUAACUACCGGCCUGCACUCGAUACUGUUGGUCUUGAGUACAGAAGAGGAGAGCGGAAUUCCAGGCGUAGCGGUGAAAUGCGUAGAUAUCUGGAAGAACACCCGUAGCGAAGGCGGCUCUCUGGUCUGAUACUGACGCUGAAGCGCGAAGGCUUGGGUAGCAAACAGGAUUAGAUACCCUGGUAGUCC
rnacentral:rRNA from 1 species